rnacentral:lncRNA from 1 species
AGUACUUUUUUUGAUACAUAGCUACGAAACAGAGGCUGUGUCAAAGUUUUCAUGCUAUAGUGCUGCUAAAAACUAUGGAAAUAUGGAUUGCUGAGGAUACUAAAUUUAGAAGAGUGCAAUUCUCAAACUGUAUUAAAGAUGCUUUGUCAAGAAAUAAAGUAGUAAGGGAAAGAGUGUUUCCAGUUUGCUUUCCUUCAAAAAGUUCUUAUACUGGUCAUUUUACUAGAGAUUCUCCAGACUUAACCCC